CUCCCCCAGCCAGGGUUUACGGAAAGCAGCAGGCAAUCAGAGCUCGCGACGUGCCGACUCCCGCGUCCACCUUCUCCACCCCUGGCCUCGGCUGCGCGCCCAAGCGUCACUCCUCAGGGAAACCGUGGUAGCCAACAAGCUUGGAGCUGCUGGAGUUUCCAAAGACCUCUGGAUCCUGUAGUCCUCCACGCUAGCCUCCAAAGAGCGCUGCUGACCCGGCUCGCUCCGCAGUGCAAGACCUGAACUGUUGGGAACAAAACCCUCCCUGAAAGAGAGCUAAGUGAUUGAAAACCAUUCCCCUGGGCACCUGGCAGAAAGAAAGAAAGAAAGAAAGAAAGAAAGAAAGAAAGAAAGAAAGAAAGAA